GACGAACGCUGGCGGCGUGCUUAACACAUGCAAGUCGAACGGAAAGGCCUCUUUCGGGGGGUACUCGAGUGGCGAACGGGUGAGUAACACGUGAGUAACCUGCCCUUGACUUUGGGAUAACUUCAGGAAACUGGGGCUAAUACCGGAUAGGAGCUCCUGCUGCAUGGUGGGGGUUGGAAAGUUUCGGCGGUUGGGGAUGGACUCGCGGCUUAUCAGCUUGUUGGUGGGGUAGUGGCUUACCAAGGCUUUGACGGGUAGCCGGCCUGAGAAGGUGACCGGCCACAUUGGGACUGAGAUACGGCCCAGACUCCGACGGGAGGCAGCAGUGGGGAAUAUUGCACAAUGGGUGGAAGCCUGAUGCAGCAACGCCGUGUGCGGGAUGACGGCCUUCGGGUUGUAAACCGCUUUCGCUCAUGACGAAGCUUUGUGUGACGGUAGUGGGUAAAGAAGCACCGGCUAACUACGUG
rnacentral:rRNA from 1 species